rnacentral:sRNA from 1 species
UAUCUCUCCGUACGGGGAAGGAUGAGAAGCUUCGACCAAGGUUCGAUUCGAGCGCAGCGAGAAAGCGUUGCCGCAGGCAACGACCCGAAGGGUGAGGAGCGGAGCGACGAAUAAUCCUUCCCCCACCACCA